rnacentral:lncRNA from 1 species
GGAAAGUUUUCCAAGUCCACCCAAAUUAGAGAAUCUUUUGUCAUGAACAUCAAUAAUGUAUGACAAAUUGAUUCUCAAGAGCUUUAAUCUUGAAUUCAUCAGAAUAUAAUUCAACCAUUCAAACUAUCUUUUUUAUGUCAAAACUAAAAACUAAAUUGAUUGGAUUCAAGCAAGCAACUCCAUUAAGCAGAUCACUUGUCACCUCACUGAAACGAUCAUU